rnacentral:rRNA from 1 species
UAAGGAAUAUUGGUCAAUGGGAGAAAUCCUGAACCAGCAACGCCGCGUGAAGGACGAAGGGCUUUUAGCUUGUAAACAUCUUUUUGAGGGAAAAAUAUACGAUUACUUCGUGUUGAUUGUACCUUGAGAAUAAGCCCCGGCUAACUACGUGCCAGCAGCCGCGGUAAUACGUAGGGGGCAAGCGUUGUCCGGAUUUACUGGGUGUAAAGGGUGCUCAGGUGGAUUUGUUAGUCGGAGGUGAAACUCCGGAGCUUAACUCCGGAACUGCCUCCGAAACAGCAAGUCUUGAGUUUGGUAGAGGAUGAUGGAAUAUCUGGUGUAGCAGUGAAAUGCGUAGAUAUCAGAUAGAACACCAAUGGCGAAGGCAGUCAUCUGGGCCAUAACUGACACUAAAGCACGAAAGCGUGGGGAUCAAAACAGGAUUAGAUACCC